CGUAGGGGCGUAGCGUUGUCCGGAUUUAUUGGGCGUAAAGAGCGUGUAGGCGGCCAGGUAGGUCUGCUGUGAAAACUCGAGGCUUAACCUCGAGAUGUCGGCGGAAACCAUCUGGCUAGAGUCCGGAAGAGGAGAGUGGAAUUCCUGGUGUAGCGGUGAAAUGCGCAGAUAUCAGGAAGAACACCCGUGGCGAAGGCGGCUCUCUGGGACGGUACUGACGCUGAGACGCGAAAGCGUGGGGAGCGAACAGG
rnacentral:rRNA from 1 species